rfam:Gossypium arboreum cultivar AKA8401 contig_23463_1, whole genome shotgun sequence.
UAUUAAAAUUUUUAUCCAUUUGUAUUGCAAAAAAUUGGCAUAGUUGAUGGAAUAAUAAGACAAUGACACAUGGUGUGCCACGUAUACCUCAUGCUGACAUGCAAAAACCAAUUUUUAACUGCAGAAAUGGAUAUAACUUUUAAUA